UNUNNNNUUUUUNNNNNNGCUCAGGAUGAACGCUGGCGGCGUGCCUAAUACAUGCAAGUCGAACGCUUUGUGGUUCAACUGAUUUGAAGAGCUUGCUCAGAUAUGACGAUGGACAUUGCAAAGAGUGGCGAACGGGUGAGUAACACGUGGGAAACCUACCUCUUAGCAGGGGAUAACAUUUGGAAACAGAUGCUAAUACCGUAUAACAAUAGCAACCGCAUGGUUGCUACUUAAAAGAUGGUUCUGCUAUCACUAAGAGAUGGUCCCGCGGUGCAUUAGUUAGUUGGUGAGGUAAUGGCUCACCAAGACGAUGAUGCAUAGCCGAGUUGAGAGACUGAUCGGCCACAAUGGGACUGAGACACGGCCCAUACUCCUACGGGAGGCAGCAGUAGGGAAUCUUCCACAAUGGGCGAAAGCCUGAUGGAGCAACGCCGCGUGUGUGAUGAAGGGUUUCGGCUCGUAAAACACUGUUGUAAGAGAAGAAUGACAUUGAGAGUAACUGUUCAAUGUGUGACGGUAUCUUACCAGAAAGGAACGGCUAAAUACGUGCCAGCAGCCGCGGUAAUACGUAUGUUCCAAGCGUUAUCCGGAUUUAUUGGGCGUAAAGCGAGCGCAGACGGUUAUUUAAGUCUGAAGUGAAAGCCCUCAGCUCAACUGAGGAAUUGCUUUGGAAACUGGAUGACUUGAGUGCAGUAGAGGAAAGUGGAACUCCAUGUGUAGCGGUGAAAUGCGUAGAUAUAUGGAAGAACACCAGUGGCGAAGGCGGCUUUCUGGACUGUAACUGACGUGAGG
rnacentral:rRNA from 1 species